CUUAAGCUUCCUUCUCCGGAGACUCAUCUCGCAGAACUCACAAGGGCAAAUUCUCCAUGGCCCCUGAUGGGUGCGCGUGUCAAUUGUGUGUCCUGUAAUUCCCCUUUUCGACCAUUGACUGAACACCAGGACUGUAUAUGCUGAAAAGAAACCUGAGGCCCGGUAAAGGAAAAUGCCUUUACAAGGAAACACCAGUUAUGUGAGUAUGAAAACAAUAGCAUAAUGGCUGGAGUGCCAACAGCCGUCUUGGAUCAUGAGAGAACCUCAGGAAAGAAACCCACACAAGGCAAAGCAACAAGAUAGAAGCACUUGACUCUGCAGCACCAGAUCAACACCCAGCUGCCCGUUUC